AUUGAACGCUGGCGGCAUGCCUUACACAUGCAAGUCGAACGGCAGCACGGGAGCAAUCCUGGUGGCGAGUGGCGAACGGGUGAGUAAUAUAUCGGAACGUGCCCAGUCGUGGGGGAUAACGUAGCGAAAGCUACGCUAAUACCGCAUACGAUCUAUGGAUGAAAGCGGGGGAUCGCAAGACCUCGCGCGAUUGGAGCGGCCGAUAUCAGAUUAGGUAGUUGGUGAGGUAAAGGCUCACCAAGCCGACGAUCUGUAGCUGGUCUGAGAGGACGACCAGCCACACUGGGACUGAGACACGGCCCAGACUCAUACGGGAGGCAGCAGUGGGGAAUUUUGGACAAUGGGCGCAAGCCUGAUCCAGCAAUGCCGCGUGCAGGAUGAAGGCCUUCGGGUUGUAAACUGCUUUUGUACGGAGCGAAAAGGCUUCCACUAAUACUGGGGGCUCAUGACGGUACCGUAAGAAUAAGCACCGGCUAACUACGUGCCAGCAGCCGCCGUAAAAC
rnacentral:rRNA from 1 species